rnacentral:rRNA from 1 species
GUGCAGCAGGCGCGAAUCCUUCGCAAUGCGGGAAACCGCGACGAGGGGACUCCCAGUGCCUACGCUCAGCGUAGGCUGUUCCCGAGCCUAGAAAGCUCGGGGAGUAAGGGCUGGGUAAGACGGGUGCCAGCCGCCGCGGUAAUACCCGCAGCCCGAGUGGUGGCCACUAUUAUUGGGCCUAAAGCGUCCGUAGCCGGCCCGGUAAAUGCCUGGGUAAAUCGUGAGGCCUAACCUCACGAAUUCCGGGUAGACUGCCGGGCUAGGGACCGGAGGAGGGAGAGGGGUACUCCAGGGGUAGGGGUGAAAUCCUGUAAUCCCUGGAGGACCACCGGUGGCGAAGGCGCUCUCCUAGGACGGGUCCGACGGUAAGGGACGAAAGCCAGGGGAGCGAACCGGAUUAGAUACCCGUGUAGU